AGAGUUUGAUCAUGGCUCAGAUUGAACGCUGGCGGAAUGCUUUACACAUGCAAGUCGAACGGCAGCACGGACUUCGGUCUGGUGGCGAGUGGCGAACGGGUGAGUAAUGUAUCGGAACGUAUCCAGUAAUGGGGGAUAACUAAUCGAAAGGUUGGCUAAUACCGCAUACGCCCUACGGGGGAAAGCAGGGGAUCUUCGGACCUUGCGUUAAUGGAGCGGCCGAUAUCUGAUUAGCUAGUUGGUGAGGUAAGAGCUCACCAAGGCGACGAUCAGUAGCUGGUCUGAGAGGACGACCAGCCACACUGGAACUGAGACACGGUCCAGACUCCUACGGGAGGCAGCAGUGGGGAAUUUUGGACAAUGGGCGCAAGCCUGAUCCAGCCAUUCCGCGUGAGUGAAGAAGGUCUUCGGGUUGUAAAGCUCUUUCGCAAGGGAAGAAACGAUGCAGACGAAUAAUCUGUGUUAAUGACGGUACCUUGAUAAGAAGCACCGGCUAACUACGUGCCAGCAGCCGCGGUAAUACGUAGGGUGCAAGCGUUAAUCGGAAUUACUGGGCGUAAAGCGUGCGCAGGCGGUUUUGUAAGUCAGAUGUGAAAUCCCC
rnacentral:rRNA from 1 species